rnacentral:rRNA from 1 species
AUUGAACGCUGGCGGCAGGCCUAACACAUGCAUGUCGAACGAGUGGCGGACGGGUGAGUAAUGUCUGGGAAACUGCCUGAUGGAGGGGUAUAACUACUGGAAACGGUAGCUAAUACCGCUUACCCUCCGAUCUGCCCAGAUGGGAUUAGGUAGUUGGUGGGGGAACGGCUCACCAAGGCGACGAUCCCUAGCUGGUCUGAGAGGAUGACGAGCCACACUGGAACUGAGACACGGUCCAGACUCCUACGUGAGGCAGCAGUGGGGAAUAUUGCACAAUGGGCGCAAGCCUGAUGCAGCCAUGCCGCGUGAAUGAAGAAGGCCUUCGGGUUGUAAAGUACUUUCAGCGGGGAGGCGUUACCCGCAGAAGAAGCACCGGCUAACUCCGUGCCAGCAGCCGCGGUAAUAC